UCGAGGAUCAUUCGCAAUGGGCGCAAGCCUGACGAUGCGACGCUGCGUGGAGGAUGACGGCCUUCGGGUUGUAAACUCCUGUCAUGAGGGAAGAGGAGAGCCUUAUUAAUACCAAGGUGAUUUGACGGUACCUCAAGAGGAAGCCACGGCUAACUCUGUGCCAGCAGCCGCGGUAAUACAGAGGUGGCGAGCGUUGUUCGGAUUUACUGGGCGUAAAGGGCGCGUAGGCGGCCGCGUGUGUGGGGUGUGAAAUCUCCGGGCUCAACCCGGAAAGUGCGCCCCAAACUGCGCGGCUGGAGUGCGGGAGGGGAGAUCGGAAUGCAUGGUGUAGCGGUGAAAUGCGUUGAUAUCAUGCAGAACACCGGUGGCGAAGGCGGAUCUCUGGAACGCAACUGACGCU
rnacentral:rRNA from 1 species